rnacentral:pre_miRNA from 1 species
GAUUUCUCUGCGUCUGACCACUCCGGAAGGUAAACUUCCUUUGUGAUGUAACUGCGGAGACUGC